rnacentral:rRNA from 1 species
UACGUAGGGUGCAAGCGUUUGUCCGGAAUUAUUGGGCGUAAAGAGCUCGAGUGGCGCUGUCGCGUCGGCUGUGAAAACUCGGGGCUCAACUCCGAGCUUGCAGUCGAUACGGGCAGGCUAGAGUUCGGCAGGGGAGACUGGAAUUCCUGGUGUAGCGGUGAAAUGCGCAGAUAUCAGGAGGAACACCGGUGGCGAAGGCGGGUCUCUGGGCCGAUACUGACACUGAGGAGCGAAAGCGUGGGGAGCAAACAGG